rnacentral:tRNA from 1 species
UAUGCUUAAGUGUAUAGUGCACUAUGAUUUUUGAUAUCAUAAGUUUUGAUGGAAAAUUAAGAAGUAUAA